rnacentral:rRNA from 1 species
GACGAACGCUGGCGGCGUGCUUAACACAUGCGAGUCGAGCGGAAAGGCCCUGCUUUUGUGGGGUGCUCGAGUGGCGAACGGGUGAGUAACACGUGAGUAACCUGCCCUUGACUUUGGGAUAACUUCAGGAAACUGGGGCUAAUACCGGAUAGGAGCUCCUGCUGCAUGGUGGGGGUUGGAAAGUUUCGGCGGUUGGGGAUGGACUCGCGGCUUAUCAGCUUGUUGGUGGGGUAGUGGCUUACCAAGGCUUUGACGGGUAGCCGGCCUGGGAGGGUGACCGGCGACAUGGGGACUGAGAUAGGGCCCAGACUGCUACGGGAGGCAGCAGUGGGGAAUAUUGCACAAUGGGCGGGAGCCUGAUGCAGAAACGCCGCGUGCGGGAAGAAGGCCUUCGGGUUGUAAACCGCUUUAGCCUGUGACGAAGCGUGAGUGACGGUAAUGGGUAAAGAAGCACCGGCUAACUACGUG